GGAAGUAAACUCCUAACCCCUGUGACAUACCACUUGUUGCCUCGGCGGAUCAGCCCGCUCCCGGUAAAACGGGACGGCCCGCCAGAGGACCCCUAAAACUCUGUUUCUAUAUGUAACUUCUGAGUAAAACCAUAAAUAAAUCAAAACUUUCAACAACGGAUCUCUUGGUUCUGGCAUCGAUGAAGAACGCAGCAAAAUGCGAUAAGUAAUGUGAAUUGCAGAAUUCAGUGAAUCAUCGAAUCUUUGAACGCACAUUGCGCCCGCCAGUAUUCUGGCGGGCAUGCCUGUUCGAGCGUCAUUUCAACCCUCAAGCACAGCUUGGUGUUGGGACUCGCGUUAAUUCGCGUUCCUCAAAUUGAUUGGCGGUCACGUCGAGCUUCCAUAGCGUAGUAGUAAAACCCUCGUUACUGGUAAUCGUCGCGGCCACGCCGUUAAACCCCAACUUCUGAAUGUUGACCUCGGAUCAGGUAGGAAUACCCGCUGAACUUAAGCAUAUCAAUAAGCGGAGGAAAGAUCUUCCCGCUCUAUACCUCUAAUCAACGUAGACAAUUAAUAUUUGAUCUGAUCUCAAAUCACGUAGGACUACCCGCUGAACUUAAGCAUAUCACC
rnacentral:rRNA from 1 species